UUUUUUCUUCUAUUGCAUAAAGCUUGUUGGCAAGCCAAGCGAUUAGCGAUAACAAGUUGGCUAUAACUCCUCGUCUUUCUUGUUUAAAUAAAGAGCUUUGCACACUCAACUGAUUUCUUUUAGUCUCGAUCACAACUCACAAGUUAUUUUCUUCGUAAACGCCAUACAAACACCUGCUUCUGUUUAAUAGUUGUUUACGCUUUGUCGGAUGCAAUUUCUGGCUCUUUGUACUGAGUGUAGCCAUCUAUUCUGUGGUGUAGCACCUUAUGCAGCCAAUGUGGCCAAUGUAUAAUGAAUACACGGCCUAAAACAAUAUAUCUUCUGGCACUUUAUAAUUGGGCGCCGGUAAUGCAUAACGUCAUCAAUUUAUAUAUUGCAUAGAGUCUGAAAGAUUUUCUCAAUAUUCAUGUCUGAAAUGUUUAUAUAUUUGAAAACAACACUCUCUCGCUCUUUCCUACCUCUGUAUAAUGGGUAUACCGUGAAAAUAAUAUCGGCACUCAAUUGAAUGCCUAGAAUCUCAAAGAUUUUGAAUAUCUACAAAGUAAAUGAUUAUUUAGCAAGUCUAUUUAUGUUCAGAUAUUUCCAUCUGCAAAAUUUGCCAGAAAUCGUCGCAAAUUAUUUCUUGACUAAUAAAGAAAUCCAUAACCACAACAAUAGAAAUUCAUCAUCUUUGCACAAAAAAUGUUACAAAACAAAUUACACAAAACUUACUCUUGCCAAUAAGGGAACUGAUGUUUGGAAUAAUCUUCCCACACAAUAUAAGAAAAUCCAAUUCUAUGGUACUUUCAAAAAAACUAUAAAAAAGUACUUUCUGCAUUUAAUUACUUCAAGUUAACAUUUCCACUUCACCAGUAAAAUGUUUGUAAAUGUAAAUAUAUAUAAAUAUAUAUAUCCCGUUCUUCAUUACUUGUUAAAAAUCUAUUUUUCUCUUUCAAAUGUAAUACAACUCCAGCUUACUAUUUUACAGUAAUGUAUUGCACAUUAAUUAUAAUAUAUUUCCUGACUUUAAAAAACAACAUUCGAACUGCAUGUUAGAUUAUGAAUAUAGCUAGUUAUAUAAUUGUUACCUAGGGACCUUAAACAAAAGCCUUUUGGUUUCUAGAAGGUUCCUAGCCCUAAUUUUGUAAAUAUUUAAUUCUACUUCUUAUUGUUAUGUAAUUGGGCGAAAAAAAAAUUAAAAAAAAAGAAAAUAUUUUCGACUCAAUAUUUAAGUAUAUUUACGUCUGAAAUGUUUAAUAUAAUAUAUAAUAUAUACACUUGAAAAAAAGCACUGUCCUAGCUCCUUCCUAGCUCUGUAAAAUGAAUAUACCGUCUAAAUAAUAUCGGCACUUAAUUGAUGCAUAACAUCAAUUUAUAUAUUGCGUAGAUUCUCGAAUAUUUACUCAAUAUUCACAUCUGAAAUGUUUAUACAUUUCAAAACAACACUGUCUCGCUCCUUCCUAGCAUCGUCACGCCAUCGUGAUCUAUGGCUUGAUAGCGCAUGCGUAUUUGCGCUGCUAAAGAAAAAUCGGGUGUUCCGGGCUAAGAUCCUUUACACAACAUGAGAAGCGCAUGUUAUAAAAUUUACAAUAACGACAACAAUUCCUCGAAUUUUUUGUAAACUUGGCAAAACUUAGCAAAAGGCCUAAAGAAUAUUUAAAUAAGACAACUGAAAUUGCCUAAAUAACCUUCAAAGCACAGACUAAGUGCGAAUUAAAUGUACGAUCACUACGAACAUAUACCGCAUACACCUCCCGGAAAGUUUACUGUAUGACUGAAUGACUGACUGACUGUCUCGUUUGAUUCCCCCCCCCCCAGUCAUCACAACACUGCGAAGUUUCGAAGAAACUUCACACUUAAAAAUGUUCGAGACAAAUGUAGUUUUAUUAACUUACGCGUUUAUAGCGAACAUUCCACUGGCAAAGUUUUCCUGACUUCGUUAUGUCACAUUAUACAACGCUAACAGCUUGAAAUUCCACUCAACUAUGUAAUUUUUGUCAGUCUUGUUUAAGGUAAAUGCUUUUCCAAUUAACAAUAAAGAUAAAAGCUAAAUUUUCCAUGCGAAGGCAACUUUUACUUUGUGUAGCGCGGCGCCAUGUCCGUUUUUUUUAAGCAAUCUGUGACCGUUUACUUUUUAAACUAAACUGCUUUAAAGUGAUAGGUUGAUUUUAUCACCACAAUGUUCUUCCACCCAUCAGAUCAGUUUGUUACAGAUUUUUGCACUCUUGUUACAGAUUUUUGCACUCUUGUUACAGAUUUUUGCGCUGCUGUUUGGGAUUAAAUAUAAUAUUUGCUUGCUAAUAGGAAUUUUAUGCCUUUCCGGCAUGUUAUGUUUCAAGGCGUUCGGGAACAGGUUCAAGGAAGCCGUUGAGCCUUUAAAUGCUGCUAAAAGCAAAGUAUUGUCCACCUCGAAUGUGCGCAGACGUGGGACCGUGAGGAAAGUCGACCGUAUGUGGCCAAAUUUACGUCUUUGUAAACCUUACUUCGGCAAAUGAUGUCGAGUUAGUAGGCGUUUAUAUACAAAGUGAGAAGUAGAAAUAUAUAUCUCUCGGGAACAUAUCUACGCUACUCGGACCGUAAGAAAUUGAUUUUUUUUGGAAUAGAAAUCGCAUACUAGAAUUGGGGAAUCACUGUAAUAAGGAAUAAUAAGUUUGCUUUUGAAAUCAAAUGAGAGGAAAAUGAAAAGAGAUGUUAAAUCUUUUUUCAAAUUCAUCCUUCGUAAUUUUCUUAGCUUUAAGGGAAUUCACGAAAGUUCUUAUUGUUGUUUUUUUUUCCUGUUUUUGGGGCGAAGGAUCGUAUUAAUUCAAAAUGUCUUUAAAUAAAUCUUCAUUGGCAGAAAACAGAAAAUACUUAUACUGUGCAUAAAGUUCUAUUGAAUUUUUAAUUUGAAAGUGCAGUGUUCACGUUGUGCCUAACAAGCCGCUAAAAAGUCAGAUAUUUACGAAAGAUUUCGUGCUUAGCCCAACACAGUUAGCUUUAGAUUAGAGUUUCUAUUCGUGAAUUGCGUCCAAAGUAACCGACCACAUUGUUACCCAAAGAUUAAAGUGCACUGUAUCAUACUAAAGUGCAGCAAAAAAGUAC